CAUCGACAAAAAAUGCGAUAAUUUCUUGUAACAUCCGAACAGUCCUCUGCCGUUGUUACUCGCACCUGAACUUUGUGCUGCCUCGGCUAAACCUGAACAUUUUGCAUAUCAAAAUUGAAAGACUCACCACCGAUAAUGGAUACGUGGUCUUUUCCGCGUGACGAUCUGUCGGAACUAAUUUUAAUUUCUGAAACCAAAUGAUGACCAUUAGGCUGAGCAUUUAAUUAUACGUUGUAAUUAAAUCGUUUUUAAUAGAAUGCAACAACAUUGUUGUGAACACUUAAGGACUUAAUAAGAGCGGAGGCUUCUGCAAAAUCGAUUUGGUUUGUGCACGAACCAGCAAUAUAACGAGAGUCUAAUGAACCCCUACAAAUAAUUCAGGUCGUCCCGAUCUCGGCACCGAUCGGCGACAAACGCACCGUUCCGACCUCCACGAUCACGCGACGAUCGUGCGUCCGGGGACGAGUGUUCCCGUGGGGCCUCACUGUUCUAUCGUCGAAACGUUUGCUCCAUUCUCGUCACGAAGUUUGCCCUGGAAUAUUCCCGCGAGCCGACUUAAAAUGAACGAACUGUAUAUAUAAAUGAAGUACCUGAAGAGGAUCGGAAUAAUAAUCUACGUGUACCUACCGAAAGUAAAGAAAUUCUGAUUUAUAAUCGCAUUAAUUUCGUUUAAUUAUAUAAAAGAGUUACGCACAAGGACUAAUUUAUUGGCCGAUCGACGCGAAAUCAACGAACAAACAUAAAAUGAAAUUAAAAUUACCGACGCCUCAUUGGCUGGUCGUUCGAGGACACGAGAUAACGAGUUUCGUUGGGACAAUUCCACGCAUCUAAGAAGAUCACGACAUACUACUCUACGAACACGAAGAAGGAGACGUGGGAGAUAGGUCGGUGCAGUCUGAGCUGACGUUAUGAGAAUACGAGAGGUGGAAUUUGGAAUGAUAGAAGUGAUUGUUCCGAAAUUACGAGCUACGAUCUUUUUCGUCGUUAACAAUGCCGAACGAUUUUCGAUUUGUAGUAUGAACACGAAAAGAGACGUGGAUGCGCCGAUCAAACAAAUCCCAGAGAGCUAUCCAACGUUGAAAAAAUAAUGGAAAAUUAAAUGAAAUGAAAAAUGAAGAAGUUUUCUUUUAAAAUGGAUACUUGAAGAUUUUCAUACGAAUUCAUUGGGUGGAAUUUAAGAAAAGCGGAAGACUAGAGUAACCAGAGGUAAUGGAAUAGAAUCCUGGCCUCGUUCUGCUCCGACUAUCACUUGCUUACACUCAUUUUGCAAAUGUACACAUAAACUUGAGCAACGAAAUACUGCUUUCCGAGUCAGUGAAAUAAAAAUAAAAGAUUUGCUAGCCAAUUACUGCUGUUAUCACUUUAAUGCUUACCGUUUCAGGGAGCACGUAAAAGGAAAUUAAAAAUUGAAACGAAAAUUUAAUAUGAAUAAUGUGGAAUAAAUUUUAU